AUAAACAGGUAGUAGGGCUCUCCUUAAACUUCACUAUUUGCUGGAACAUCCUAUAAUUUAGGACAAUCAGCAGGAAACCAAAAGAUAUUUAAAUAUCUUAGUAGGAUCUUCAGAGACUAAACGCGAAGCAUUUUAUAAAAAAUGAAGAUAUAGUCCGAACAACUAUGUAAAUAGUUG
rnacentral:ncRNA from 1 species